UUCCGGUUGAUCCUGCCGGACCCGACUGCUAUUUGGGUGAGGAUAAGCCAUGCGAGUUGAAUGGGAAACCUAAAAAUCCCAUGGCAAACUGCUCAGUAACACAUGAUCAACUUACCCUAUAGAGGAAAAUAACCUCGGGAAACUGAGGAUAAUGUUCCAUAGUUGAAUCGGCUUGGAAAAGUUUUUCAAUAAAAGGGAUAAGGAAAAUGGUCCUUAUCUGCUAUAGGAUAGGAUCAUGCUCGAUUAUGGUUGUUGGUGAGGUAAAGGCUCACCAAGCCGAUAAUCGAUAGGGGCCGUGAGAGCGGGAGCCCCGAGAUGGGUACUGAGACAACGACCCAGGCCUUACGAGGCGCAGCAGGCGCGAAACCUCCGCAAUACACGAAAGUGUGACGGGGUUACCCAAAGUGUUCAUUAGAACUGUGGUAGGUGAGUAAUGUUCCCUACUAGAAAGGAGAGGGCAAGGCUGGUGCCAGCCGCCGCGGUAAAACCAGCUCUUCAAGUGGUCGGGAUAAUUAUUGGGCUUAAAGUGUCCGUAGCCGGUUUAGUAAGUUCCUGGUAAAAUCGGGUAGCUUAACUAUCUAUAUGCUAGGAAUACUGCUAUACUAGAGGGCGGGAGAGGUCUGAGGUACUACAGGGGUAGGGGUGAAAUCUUAUAAUCCUUGUAGGACCACCAGUGGCGAAGGCGUCAGACUGGAACGCGCCUGACGGUGAGGGACGAAAGCCAGGGGAGCGAACCGGAUUAGAUACCCGGGUAGUCCUGGCCGUAAACGAUGCAUACUAGGUGAUGGCACGGCCAUGAGCCGUGUCAGUGCCGUAGGGAAACCGUUAAGUGUGCCGCCUGGGAAGUACGGUCGCAAGGCUAAAACUUAAAGGAAUUGGCGGGGGAGCACCACAAGGGGUGAAGCCUGCGGUUCAAUUGGAUUCAACGCCGGG
rnacentral:rRNA from 1 species